rnacentral:rRNA from 1 species
ACGAUGAAAGCUGGAGCUUGCUCCGGCUGGAUUAGUGGCGAACGGGUGAGUAACACGUGAGCAAUCUGCCCUGGACUCUGGGAUAACCCCGAGAAAUCGGAGCUAAUACCGGAUACGACACCUCCCGGCAUCGGGUGGGUGUGGAAAGAAUUUCGGUCCAGGAUGAGCUCGCGGCCUAUCAGCUUGUUGGUGAGGUAACGGCUCACCAAGGCGACGACGGGUAGCCGGCCUGAGAGGGUGACCGGCCACACUGGGACUGAGACACGGCCCAGACUCCUACGGGAGGCAGCAGUGGGGAAUAUUGCACAAUGGGCGCAAGCCUGAUGCAGCAACGCCGCGUGGGGGACGACGGCCUUCGGGUUGUAAACCUCUUUUAGCAGGGAAGAAGCGCAAGUGACGGUACCUGCAGAAAAAGCACCGGCUAACUACGUGCCAGCAGCCGCGGUAAUACGUAGGGUGCAAGCGUUGUCCGGAAUUAUUGGGCGUAAAGAGCUCGUAGGCGGUUUGUCGCGUCUGCUGUGAAAAUCCGAGGCUCAACCUCGGACCUGCAGUGGGUACGGGCAAACUAGAGUGCGGUAGGGGAGAUUGGAAUUCCUGGUGUAGCGGUGGAAUGCGCAGAUAUCAGGAGGAACACC